CUGCUAUACAUGCAAGUCGAACGCACAGCGAAAGGUGCUUGCACCUUUCAAGUGAGUGGCGAACGGGUGAGUAACACGUGGACAACCUGCCUCAAGGCUGGGGAUAACAUUUGGAAACAGAUGCUAAUACCGAAUAAAACUUAGUGUCGCAUGACACAAAGUUAAAAGGCGCUUCGGCGUCACCUAGAGAUGGAUCCGCGGUGCAUUAGUUAGUUGGUGGGGUAAAGGCCUACCAAGACAAUGAUGCAUAGCCGAGUUGAGAGACUGAUCGGCCACAUUGGGACUGAGACACGGCCCAAACUCCUACGGGAGGCUGCAGUAGGGAAUCUUCCACAAUGGGCGAAAGCCUGAUGGAGCAACGCCGCGUGUGUGAUGAAGGCUUUCGGGUCGUAAAGCACUGUUGUAUGGGAAGAACAGCUAGAAUAGGAAAUGAUUUUAGUUUGACGGUACCAUACCAGAAAGGGACGGCUAAAUACGUGCCAGCAGCCGCGGUAAUACGUAUGUCCCGAGCGUUAUCCGGAUUUAUUGGGCGUAAAGCGAGCGCAGACGGUUUAUUAAGUCUGAUGUGAAAGCCCGGAGCUCAACUCCGGAAUGGCAUUGGAAACUGGUUAACUUGAGUGCAGUAGAGGUAAGUGGAACUCCAUGUGUAGCGGUGGAAUGCGUAGAUAUAUGGAAGAACACCAGUGGCGAAGGCGGCUUACUGGACUGCAACUGACGUUGAGGCUCGAAAGUGUGGGUAGCAAACAGGAUUAGAUACCCUGGUAGUCCACACCGUAAACGAUGAACACUAGGUGUUAGGAGGUUUCCGCCUCUUAGUGCCGAAGCUAACGCAUUAAGUGUUCCGCCUGGGGAGUACGACCGCAAGGUUGAAACUCAAAGGAAUUGACGGGGACCCGCACAAGCGGUGGAGCAUGUGGUUUAAUUCGAAGCAACGCGAAGAACCUUACCAGGUCUUGACAUCCUUUGAAGCUUUAGAGAUAGAAGUGUUCUCUUCGGAGACAAAGUGACAGGUGGUGCAUGGUCGUCGUCAGCUCGUGUCGUGAGAUGUUGGGUUAAGUCCCGCAACGAGCGCAACCCUUAUUGUUAGUUGCCAGCAUUCAGAUGGGCACUCUAGCGAGACUGCCGGUGACAAACCGGAGGAAGGCGGGGA
rnacentral:rRNA from 1 species